rnacentral:rRNA from 1 species
GUCUAAGUACAAGCCGGGGGACCGGCGAGACUGCGAACGGCUCAGUAUAUCAGACACGGUUCCUUAGAGAGAGAGCCAGUUACAUGGAUAACUGUGGCAAAUCCAGAGCUAAUACAUGCAAGUGACAGUCCGGACCUUCAAAGAGGGACGGACGCGUUGUUUCAGUCUCUCGACGCAAAGAGAGCCCAUUCCGCCAAGGGAAAAUGCAAAAACCUGUCAAAGGCACACGAAAGCCUCGUCGAGCAGGGGAGCUCAGAAACAAGUCUGCCAAUCGCACGGCCUCGAGCCGGCGAUGCAUCUAUCAAACGUCUGUCCUAUCAUACUAGAUGGUACGGUAUUGGCCUACCAUGGUUACAACGGGUGACGGGGAAUCGGGGUUCGAUUCCGGAGAGGGAGCCUGAGAAACGGCUACCACAUCCAAGGAAGGCAGCAGGCGCGCAAAUUACCCACUCCCGACACGGGGAGGUAGUGACGAAAUAUAAAGAGGCGCGGGCCCUAUGUGGUCGCGCUACCUGAAUGAGUGCAAAACAAACCUCUGAUACGAGGAGCUAUCGGAGGCAAGCCUGGUG